rnacentral:rRNA from 1 species
GAGGGAAAGGCGAAAAGAACCCCGGCGAGGGGAGUGAAAAAGAACCUGAAACCGUGUACGUACAAGCAGUAGGAGCCUCUUUAUGGGGUGACUGCGUACCUUUUGUAUAAUGGGUCAGCGACUUAUAUUCUGUAGCAAGGUUAACCGCAUAGGGGAGCCGUAGGGAAACCGAGUCUUAACUGGGCGAAUGAGUUGCAGGGUAUAGACCCGAAACCCGGUGAUCUA